rnacentral:tRNA from 1 species
GGGCCUGUAGCUCAAUUGGCAGAGCAGCGGACUUUUAAUCCGAAGGUCGUGGGUUCGAUCCCCACCGGGCCCA